UACGUAGGGGGCAAGCGUUGUCCGGAUUUAUUGGGCGUAAAGAGCGUGUAGGCGGCUAUACAGGUCCGUUGUGAAAACUCGAGGCUCAACCUCGAGACGCCGGUGGAAACUGCAAAGCUAGAGUCCGGAAGAGGAGAGUGGAAUUCCACGUGUAGCGGUGAAAUGCGUAGAGAUGUGGAGGAACACCAGUGGCGAAGGCGACUCUUUGGCCUGUAACUGACGCUGAGGCGCGAAAGCGUGGGGGAGCAAACAGG
rnacentral:rRNA from 1 species